AGUAUAAGCAGGCUGAAGGGCAGUGGUAGGAAGCAAACUCACUGCUGAGCAGCGAGCCCCACGUGGGACUUGAUCCUGGGACCCUGGGAUCCUGACCUGAGCCAAAGGGUAUUGUAAGGACAUAACUUUUCAACCAACUGAGCCACCCAGGCAUCCCAGGACAUAACUUUUCAAACCAGUUGGAGCGAGAGAGAGACAGAGAGAGAAGGAACACAAAUAAGAGGAGUGGUAGAGGGAGAAGCAGGCUUCCCUCUGAGCAGGGAGCCCAAUGGAGGGCUCGAUCCCAAGACCCUGGGAUCAUGACCUGAGCUGAAGGCAGAUGCCCAACAACUGAGCCACUCAGGUGCCCCCAAUUUGUCUUAACUUUUGUGUACAAUGUAAGGUAUAUGUACAGGUUCCUUUUCUUGCAUACAGUUAUCCAGUUUUUCCAGC
rnacentral:lncRNA from 1 species